ACCCUGUGCCGUGCCGCGCAGUUAGGCAGCAGCAGUGGAGCAGUAGCCGCCUUGGGAGGGAGCCAUGAAGCACUACGAGGUGGAGAUUCUGGAUGCAAAGACAAGGGAGAAGCUGUGUUUCUUGGACAAGGUGGAGCCCCACGCCACCAUUGCGGAGAUCAAGAACCUCUUCACCAAGACCCAUCCACAGUGGUACCCCGCCCGCCAGUCCCUCCGCCUGGACCCCAGUGAGUACAGCUGUCCACUCGGCCCACCCUAUGGGCUCCUGGGUGGCAGUGGGAGAAGGCCCGGGCAGCCCCUGAGCCCUGGCCCGCCUCUCUGCAGAGGGCAAGUCCCUGAAGGAUGAGGAUGUUCUGCAGAAGCUGCCCGUGGGCACCACGGCCACACUCUACUUCCGGGACCUGGGGGCCCAGAUCAGCUGGGUGACGGUGAGUCCUGACCCUACCCACGGCCUCUUUUCCCGUCAGCCACAUUGGGUGACUCAUCUUGCCCCCCUCUACCCUCAGGUCUUCCUAACAGAGUACGCAGGGCCCCUUUUCAUCUACCUGCUCUUCUACUUCCGAGUGCCCUUCAUCUAUGGCCAUAAAUAUGACUUCACGUCCAGUCGGCACACAGUGGUGCAGUAAGUGGGGCAGGCGGGAGGA
rnacentral:sRNA from 1 species